UUACCUGGUGAAAGAAGAAAAAGUUAGUGCCCCUCUUGACAGGGAUGGAAAGGCCCUUAGGCCUAACAACAUGCAUAGGUUUAAAUAAUCAUAUUCUCAUAUAUUUAGGACAUGCAGACAAAUUAU